rnacentral:piRNA from 1 species
CCACCUCCAGAGCUUAGCUCUACCA